rnacentral:rRNA from 1 species
CCUACGGGGGGCAGCAGUGGGGAAUAUUGGACAAUGGGCGAAAGCCUGAUCCAGCCAUGCCGCGUGUGUGAAGAAGGCCUUCGGGUUGUAAAGCACUUUCAGUGGGGAAGAAAGCCUUGGGGCUAAUACCCUCGAGGAAGGACAUCACCCACAGAAGAAGCACCGGCUAACUCCGUGUCAGCAGCCGCGGUAAUACGGAGGGUGCGAGCGUUAAUCGGAAUUACUGGGCGUAAAGCGCGCGUAGGCGGUCUGAUAAGCCGGUUGUGAAAGCCCCGGGCUCAACCUGGGAACGGCAUCCGGAACUGUCAGGCUAGAGUGCAGGAGAGGAAGGUAGAAUUCCCGGUGUAGCGGUGAAAUGCGUAGAGAUCGGGAGGAAUACCAGUGGCGAAGGCGGCCUUCUGGACUGACACUGACGCUGAGGUGCGAAAGCGUGGGUAGCAAACAGGAUUAGAUACCCGGGUAGUC